rnacentral:rRNA from 1 species
ACGAACGCUGGCGGCGUGCUUAACACAUGCAAGUCGAACGGAAAGGCCCUGCUUUUGUGGGGUGCUCGAGUGGCGAACGGGUGAGUAACACGUGAGUAACCUGCCCUUGACUUUGGGAUAACUUCAGGAAACUGGGGCUAAUACCGGAUAGGAGCUCCUGCUGCAUGGUGGGGGUUGGAAAGUUUCGGCGGUUGGGGAUGGACUCGCGGCUUAUCAGCUUGUUGGUGGGGUAGUGGCUUACC